AGCUGGGGACGGAGGAGCCACCCUUGCCAGCGUCCCCCGGGCUGAGGGGGAGUCCGUCACCCCCAAGGAGGACGCCUGAAGCCACAGCGAAGUCGGAGAAACUGAGGAGGGUACCUCCAGAACUUCUCUGGAUUAUGCCCUCUUCUCUUCUCCGUCACUGACCCCAUCCUGGUGAAGCCCUUCAUCACCUUCCAUCUGGACUAUUUCAACAGCUGCCGGAAGUCCACCUCUCCUCCCAAGAGCUGUCAACAUGGUUUUCUAAGGGGUGGGUCUGAUUCUGCCCAUGUGAGGCCCAAUCAGAUUGACGGGAAGAAAGGAGGAGGAGAAGAAAAUUAUUUAUAUGGAGCUUUAAGGUUUGCAAAGCGCUUUGUGGAGAUUUCAUUUGAUCAUCACAUCUGUAAAAAUGGAGAUUUGAACCCCGGACUUCAGUUCCCAGGAGUCCUUGGUAGCUCCCAGAGUUCCUCAUAAUCUGGAGAGAGGGGUUUUUAAACGGACUCUGCUUUCUUCUCGCUCUCUCUUCCUACUUCUGCUUCUGAGCAGGCCUGUCUCUCACGAUGCAGUGAGAGUGAAUGGGCCAUUCGGUCCUCCUAGACACUUGCUUUCUUAUUUUGUAUUUUCUUUAUUUCUUAAUCUUAAUAAACCUCAUAAAAAUAUAA